AAAAUUGUAAAUUGUAGAAGAGACUAAAUAUAUGAAUAACAUUUUUAAAAUAAUUAUUCUUUAAAAUAAAACUUCAAAAAUUAAAUAAAUAAAUAAAUAAAUAAAAAGAAGAUAAUUAAAGUGCCACAGACAUAUUGAAGUUAGUAUAAAAUUAGUAUAAUCAUUUAAUUUCAAGAGUACUCCACAUAGAUUAGUUCAAUUCAAC
rnacentral:lncRNA from 1 species